GAGCGAUAGUAUUUCACACGGAUUCCGCGGAUGUUCGUGGGCCUCGAAUACGGUUAGAACUUACAACGAUAAGUAGGCGAGAGGACGUUGUAGGCGAGGCCCAUCUGCAGCCCACAGAGACAUAUAUACCGAAGCCCAAAAGGUCCAAGCCCGGCAACACCGAGUGGGCUCUUCUCGGUUCUCGCGCGCCAAAUAUUCCCCGGCCUCUUUCCCCCCUCUCGAUCGCCGCCUACGAUCCAGCUCGCCGCCGGAUUCCAUGGCGGGAUUUCGCGCCACCGGCCGCAACCUCGCCGAUCCCCGUUUUCCGGCGGACCGAUCUACCUGAUUCGUUCGGAUCGGGUGCAGGGCCAGGCACGGCCGCCGGCCAUGGUGGUGCUUCUCCGGCGCUAGCUCGCGGGUAGUCCGGACGAAGCGAAUCGAUCGAACUCAAAGCCGCCGCCGCGGCCGCCGCCUCCUCGGCUAACCAGGUGAGUUCGUUGUCCAUGCCGUGUCGAAUCGAUCUCUCUGUAACCAAGGAAUAGCUUAGCUAGCCACCGUUUGAUUCAUUUUUGGUAGACGUACUAAACUCGAUCCUCGCGUUCGACGUUUUUAUCUGCGGUUAAUUAGCUAGGGUUGGUUAAUUUCGUCGAGCAUGUCGUGUGGAUCGUAGUCAUCGAUCGUGGGUAGUUCUUAUGCUUGGAUGUCUCCCGUCAUGAUCAAAUCCAAUUGAUUUCAGACAUUUAUCUCACACUAGCUAAAUGCCCGUGCUCUGUUACGAAAUUAAGAAUUUAUAUUAUACAUGAGUUGUUUAAACACGUGUCACUCAUAUUUUUAAAAUUUUAUGAUAAAUAAGAAUUUUUUCAAAUACUAUUUUUAAAACAAUUAUCUUGAAAGUCAUGAAAACCAAUCAAGCAUAGUCAAAAGAUCAUGAUUUGAUUAGAAUGAGUGGCAAUUAGAUAAUUUCGUAGCCAUUAAUGAUAGUUUUGUUGGAGUGAACUCGCGACCACCAACUAAGAUCUUUAUAAGUGUAAAAAUUUAUCCCACAUGAUCAUCCGGAAUUGUGCAGAUAUAUGAGCCUUUUAUGAAUCACUGAGCAGUGCACAACUAACACCGUAGUAGCUGUGUUUGUGUCUGUCCUGGGCGUUUCUCGUAGUAGAUCAGCUCUCAAGGUUGUUCACCCCUUCAAAACCAAACAAGGUACAAUGUGGUCAUGCAUGGCAACAUGGACCUCUUCUGCCCCCGGCCCCGGCCGGUUUCUGUAACGCUGUUUCCAUGUUCCGUGGCAUGACACGACCUGUCGAAAGGUGCAUACACAUGAACACAGACAUCUUCCCGGACCUGCCAUAAGCCAUGUUCCAUUCUGACAUGUGCCUUACGCUAAACUCCUGUUCAAGAAAAUUUAACCAUCACUCCCUGCUCUUGCAGUCUGCAGCACCAUACCGGAUACUUUUAUUAAGCAUGUUACUGUGCUAUAUAUGCAAAUGCAAGUACUGUUUGUGUAGCAUGCAUACCUUAAUUACUAUUGUAGGUACAUGUAUGUAUGAGUAUGAUACACCCACUGGUGGCAAUUAAACAAAGGUGCUGCUUUUGGCUCAGGUUGAACCACGUGGGUCUGACACUGUAGUACGAGUGAGCCUCUCCAUUCCGGACAUGCUCCCAGUUGUGGAAGCUUAUUAGGGUAGUGAAUGGCCCACACUGACCUAAGAUUAGCUAGAAGAUUACUCAAGCUGUCACCUAGAGUCCUAGCCUCCUAGUACUAGAGUGCUACCUUGCAUUAGUCUAUUGAUUGACAGUUUAAAAGCUUUUGUUGGGUGGUUCAUAUCUUGCUUACGCAGCUCUCCGUGCAUGCAUGAUCUGUGUGAAUGGGUGGGUGUUGUUUAAUUAAUCUCUAACCUCCUUCCAGAAACCGCUAUAAUCCAGUUACAGAUUGAAUAUUUUACUCAUAAAUUUUGUGUUUAUAAAGCAAAAAUUGGUUAGUCUAGUGUUGUCAAUUGCAAAGUAGUCGGGAGUAGAUAUAUCGGGGAAGGAUUGGAUCUGCGGCUGGUAUAAAUACUUGAAGCUUAACAGUUUGAAGGGACAUGAUUUGAUUAGUAUAUGUAUGCACGUUGCUUUGCUUGGGGACUUGGAGCCACACGAUUGGUGAUUAGGGAUUUAUUGAUCUUGUCUAGCAUGCCAACUUAGCAUGACAUGAGCUGACAGCCGAUCUUUGGCAUUUUGCUCUUUAGUUACUUCUGGGGAAAUCUUGUCCUGAUAAAUUCUUCAUAUCUUACCUAAACCACAGUCUAGUACAGUACAAUUACUGUGGAAACGAUCUUCACGAGCUUUUUCCCCGAAUAGAUGAGCAACAAAUGGAAUAUCUGCACAGGUUUAUGUGAAACUUUAACAUGUUGUUGCACCUGUUCUUAGUACACAGUAGUACAAUGUUUCUGUUCAGGAGAAGGAUUAGCUGAAUCAAGUUCUGACUAUACACAUUAUCGUUGUCAUUUUGUUGAACUCGCUGUUGAGUCUGUCUGCGAAGGGAGGGCAGCAAACAGUGCUGGAAAAAGAUCGCUGUGAACAGUGGAUGCUUUUCCUGCUUUACUAGACACGCAGACCACAUAUUGCCACGUACGGCAGUUGUCUUGAUUCUUUGAAUAGAUCGGUCUCUCGGAUCAUUAAUAGCACCUGUCAGAAACGCAUAUGAAGACAAGGACGAUCAGAGCUGAUAAGAUUGAUCAUUCAGUACCACCAUGAUGGGCUAAAAAGGUUCAACAACUGUUGCACUAGUGCACAAUCAUCAGACAUCUAGAAGUCCAUCUUAAAUGAGCAUCUCAGCUGAACUGAGUUUGGCAACGGAUGGAACUCAUCAUAAAUGAGCAUCUCAGCUGAGUUGAGUUUGUGCAACACUCUAAAUCUUCUUGCAGAGAAUUAAUGGUAGUCCAAGCCUAUCAAGGAUAAAUCAAUUUUCUUAUGCCAGACUCUAGCUAGUACAAUGUUCUGGACGUUGCACCUUGAUGCGAGCUGUUGACUCCCAUCCAAAGUAAACAUCAAGGAUAAUUGUUUGAUGAAAGAGACCAAUUAGAACAAGGUCAGUGGGUGGAGUGGCCAGCCAAAGAAACAUCUUCGUCGCCAGUGCUGUUGCUGACACUUCCGGGAAGUAACCAUGGCUUUCAACGAGAGGCGUGGCUUUGACAGGAAGCAGGCAUGUGCAUUGGCAGGCUCUAAUAAUAAACGUGGACAAACCUGUCCAGAUCAAAGUACGUGCGUCAAUGGCACAUGUGCAAAUGCAGGUCAGUUCCUCCGUGACUGUGGUUACUCCAAAAUCAAGUUUAGGCCUAGUCUUACCAAAUGUGGCGAAUGACGAAUCCAGCUUGUGAAUAGGAUUAACAUCUCAUUUGCCUGCAUCGGGAUUUUGCAUUUUUCCUUAAUAAAUCUGCUAUUUUUCACUUGUUGAUAUGAUGAUACUACUUUUUUCAUGACAUUAUCUACUAUAACAUGUGCAUAUGAAAGAUCUGAAUAUUGUUCAUGACCUAUUGCUUCAAACAUUUGACAAUAAAGUAAAGAAUAUGAACUCUCACCUCCUUAACACUUGACUUCCUUUCUACUACUCCAACUAGUUACUGUACCCCUGUAGGGAACUAAUCUUCUUACAAGCUGCAACUAGGAUUUACGUACUCACUUGGGUAGAGUAGGUAGGUUGUUACUGGUUGGCGGUUGCUAUUUAGUUCUGACAAUGGUACGGGGACCUAUAAUGCCUGAAGCCAAUGGUGCUGUCGUAACUGUAACUGUACAGUUUGGCCUAUAUUCUCGAAGUUUUUUCAACGACAAGAAGAGAAUAUUUUUAAGCAGCAUGCAGUAGGUAGCUCAAGACCUGGUAGAAAUUGAACAUACCACAUAUUUCUGAUGUUUUAAUCAGUUCCAAAAUAGUCCAACAAAAUUAUCCGAAUUGAUAAAGUAGCCCUGAAAGACAGACACAGCGAAAUCACAGUUUUGUUGGGUUGGGUUCAUCCUAAAUGCAAAAUUCAUGUGACCUAACGAGUUUCUCAACGAUCAAUGUCCCUAUUUUGGGAGGGCAUUUAUUUCUACAUCCUUAUCUGUGUCUGUUUCAUUCAUGAAGAAGGGCAAUCCUUGUGUUCUCUGCAAGGUUGAUAAUAGAUAGAUGGGGACAUCAUAAGCCAUGUGACCGGCAUGCUCAAGGCUUCAAACUCCUCUUCCUCCAUUGACGGCGAAUUGGCGAUCAGAGGAUACAAGAGAAGAGCCUCUCGCUGGUCAACUGGAGCACACUGUGCAGGCCUCGCUCCCUUGCUGGGCUGGGGAUUCUGGAUUUGGGCCGGUCUGGUUCCUGUGGGCCGAGCAGUCAAGGCCUUGGGUGGCCUUGCCCAUACCCUGCGACGUGGCUGACAGAGCCAUCUUCAGGGCCUCGACCAAAAUCCGUCACUGCCUUUUGCUGGCACGAUGCCUGGUUGCCCGAUCGAUCUUCGUUGGGCCAGCGUUGGCCGCGUCACUUCGCCAUCGCCAGCAAGAAGUAGCGCACGCUGCAUGAGCUCUCUAAGCAGUAUUGGGGGUGCGGUCCCUCAUGAAGAUCUCGACGCCGCUGCAGCUCGCGGAUUUUGUAGAGCUUCGGGAUUGCAUUCAGAUCGUCCAGCUCUCUCGGCAGCGUGAUGCCUUUUCUUGGCGUUGGACGACCUCGAGAGCCUAUUCCGCAGCCUUAGCUUAUAAGGCCCGAUACCUAUUCCCACCUCCUUCUCCGCCUACAAGAUUUGGAAGGCCCUAGCAGAGCUCAAGUUGAAGUUGAAAUGUAUAUGCGCGCACAAAACGAGAUUUCUCCAAAGGAUCAUUAUCGUGUGAUAGUCAUGGACAAAUAUUACGUGUUGUAGUACAAUAAA